AGUGAACGCUGGCGGUAGGCCUAACACAUGCAAGUCGAACGGCAGCACAGUAAGAGCUUGCUCUUACGGGUGGCGAGUGGCGGACGGAUGAGGAAUACAUCGGAAUCUACUUUUUCGUGGGGGUUAACGUAGGGAAACUUACGCUAAUACCGCAUACGACCUACGGGUGUAAGCAUGGGAUCUUCGGACCUUGCGCGGUUGAAUGAGCCGAUGUGGGAUUAGCUAGUUGGCGGGGUAAAGACCCACCAAGGCGACGAUCCGUAGCUGGUCUGGGAGGAUGGUCAGCCACCCUGGAACGUGGACACCGUCCAGGCGCCUACGGGAGGCCGCAGUGGGGAAUGGUGGACAAUGGGGGCAAGUCUGAUCCAGCCAGACCGCGUGGGUGAAGAAGGCGUUCGGGUUGUAAAGCCCUUUUGUUGGGAAAGAACAGCAGCCGGUUAAUACCCCGCUGUUCUGACGGUACCCAAAGAAUAAGCACCGGCUAACUUCGUG
rnacentral:rRNA from 1 species